CAGCCAUGCCGCGUGUAUGAAGAAGGCCUUCGGGUUGUAAAGUACUUUCAGUCGUGAGGAAGGUGUUAAGGUUAAUAACCUUAGCAAUUGACGUUAGCGACAGAAGAAGCACCGGCUAACUCCGUGCCAGAG
rnacentral:rRNA from 1 species